rnacentral:rRNA from 1 species
CAUGCAAGUCGAGGGGUAGCAGGGAGCUUGCUCCGCUGACGACCGGCGAACGGGUGCGUAACGCGUAUAGAAUCUACCUCUUACUAAGGGAUAGCCCAGAGAAAUUUGGAUUAAUAUCUUAUAGUAUACAGACCUGGCAUCAGGAUUGUAUUAAAGGUUACGGUAAGAGAUGACUAUGCGUCCUAUUAGCUAGAUGGUGUGGUAACGGCACACCAUGGCUACGAUAGGUAGGGGCCCUGAGAGGGGGAUCCCCCACACUGGUACUGAGACACGGACCAGACUCCUACGGGAGGCAGCAGUGAGGAAUAUUGGACAAUGGAGGCAACUCUGAUCCAGCCAUGCCGCGUGCAGGAAGACUGCCCUAUGGGUUGUAAACUGCUUUUAUACAGGAAGAAACACUCUCACGUGUGAGAGCUUGACGGUACUGUAAGAAUAAGGAUCGGCUAACUCCGUGCCAGCAGCCGCGGUAAUACGGAGGAUCCAAGCGUUAUCCGGAAUCAUUGGGUUUAAAGGGUCCGUAGGUGGAUGAUUAAGUCAGAGGUGAAAUCCUGCAGCUCAACUGUAGAAUUGCCUUUGAUACUGGUUGUCUUGAGUUAUUAUGAAGUAGUUAGAAUAUGUAGUGUAGCGGUGAAAUGCAUAGAUAUUACAUAGAAUACCAAUUGCGAAGGCAGAUUACUAAUAAUAUACUGACACUGAUGGACGAAAGCGUGGGGAGCGAACAGGAUUAGAUACCCUGGUAGUCCACGCCGUAAACGAUGGUCACUAGCUGUUCGGACUUCGGUUUGAGUGGCUAAGCGAAAGUGAUAAGUGACCCACCUGGGGAGUACGUUCGCAAGAAUGAAACUCAAAGGAAUUGACGGGGGCCCGCACAAGCGGUGGAGCAUGUGGUUUAAUUCGAUGAUACGCGAGGAACCUUACCAGGGCUUAAAUGUAGAUUGACAGGUUUAGAAAUAGACUUUUCUUCGGACAAUUUACAAGGUGCUGCAUGGUUGUCGUCAGC